rnacentral:tRNA from 1 species
ACUUAUUUAGUUUAAUUUUUUUUAGAAUUUUAUUUUGAAAAGAUAAAGGUUUUUUAAGUG